AAAAAAUUACAAGAAUCCAAUUUAAUUUUUCAUAGAAAAUAGAGAUAAAUAAUAAGAGAGAGAAAGAAAGAUAAAUGUAAUAUAAUCAAUAGAAAAAAAUAUGUUCAUAGAAGGUUAAAGGAAAGAGAGAUUGAAAAAUAAAAUACCUCAAAAUCUCGUGAUUAAUGUGAAACAAAUUUUAAGAUUUUAUGUGAGUACUUCUGCUUAAAGGUUAAUACUCUAGAGACUUUUAUAAAAGUCCCUAGAAGUCAUUAAAAUUUGAAUACCCCAAGACUUAUAGAGAUUUCUAAAAAAUUUUAAUUGAAUAUACCGUAACAGUUUUUAAAAGUCUAUAAAAGCCUCAAUUGAAUACCUCUAAACUUACAAGGUUUUUUUUUUUUUGUCAUGCUACUUUAAACCAUUUUGUUAAAAUAAUUAGAAUUAAUUUGAGUAGUCCGUGAUCUUUUAUACCAGGCAAAACUAAAGUAAGCGAAAGUAGGCUAUGAAUUAUUGAAUAAAUGAUGUAAAACACUAAUAGGAAAAAACAAGAGGCUACAAAAAUGACACAAAAACAACAAUUGAAGUUCUCAUCCUUAGAACUUUAAACUAAUGUAAUCGGGUGCCUAACACGAACAACUUUAAUCUAACAAGUAACUAGCUAAAAUGUGCCGAGUUGAGUAAUUAACUCUUUAUUUAAUCUCCUAAGACAUUCACAACCUAAUAUAAAAGAAAAUCAUUAAAUCAUUGCUUAUAUUUAGUUAAGAAUACAUUUGUGACGAAAAGUUCAAUACAAUUAAUACCAAAUGUUCAUAUGAAGAACUGAAAAUAGAUAAGAAAAUAGACAAGUAAGUUCAUUUGAACUAACACACGAAUAUCUUUCACGUUUAUGAAUGGAUUUUUCUAAAACUUACAUACAUUUAUUUUUAACAUUAACCAAUUAAUGUGCAAGGCACGUUAACCACACUAGUAGACAUAAAUAAGUGUACAUAUUUUACACUAUUGUAUAUCUUUCUGCAGUCCUAGAAUCUAACUGUCUUUCUGCUGAAAAAUCUCAACUUUCUUGAUGGAAACUACUGGGUUUUCUUCUCCGAGACCAGAUGCUUUUCCGACACGUCUUAGGGUUCUUGUUGUUGAUGAUGAUCCCACCUGGUUGAAGAUUCUUGAGAAGAUGCUCAAGAAGUGUUCGUAUCAAGGUUCUCUUAGAAUAAAUUUAUCAAUUUUUUUUAGUGAUUCUAAUAUUAUUUUUAUUGCAUGGUUUAUCAGUGCAAUUAUCUUCUUUUUUCAUGUGGUCAAUUAUCUUCUUGACAUAUUAGUUCAUAGUUAAUUUUCACUUUUUUGUUCUUUUGAUUUUUGGAGGGAUUUUAUUUUUGUGUUAUACAGAG
rnacentral:lncRNA from 1 species